UACGUAGGGUGCGAGCGUUGUCCGGAUUUAUUGGGCGUAAAGAGCGUGUAGGCGGUUCGGUAAGUCUGUCGUGAAAUCCUGAGGCUCAACCUUGGACGUGCGAUGGAUACUGCCGGGCUAGAGGAUGGUAGAGGCGAGUGGAAUUCUCGGUGUAGCGGUGAAAUGCGCAGAUAUCGGGAGGAACACCAGUAGCGAAGGCGGCUCGCUGGGCCAUUCCUGACGCUGAGACGCGAAAGCUAGGGGGAGCGAACAGG
rnacentral:rRNA from 1 species